CAGAAAGCUUUGAACGGGAAAAUAGUCUGGAAACAGGGCUGCAGAGAGCCGGGGUUGGUGAAAGCCGGUGUCGCUGUCAGGCUAAUCUCACCCGGGAGCUGCCCCCGUGAAAGUGUUUUUCACUGGUAAUUGGGGCCGGGUUCAUGAAACCCGUUACCAAAAAUGCACCAUACAGUGGUUGUAUUUGUGUAUGAGUGGCUCCUUUGGGAGCAAACAGGGUGGUACCGCGGAAGGAUAACCUCUCGUCCCUGGC
rnacentral:ncRNA from 1 species